UGCCAGCCGCCGCGGUAAUACGGAGGGAGCGAGCGUUAAUCGGAAUUACUGGGCGUAAAGCGCGCGUAGGCGGCUUUGUAAGUCGGAUGUGAAAGCCCCGGGCUCAACUCGGGAAUUGCAUUCGAUACUACUUGGCUAGAGUUUGGUAGAGGGUGACGGAAUUCCAGGUGUAGCGGUGAAAUGCGUAGAUAUCUGGAGGAACAUCAGUGGCGAAGGCGGCUCCCUGGCCAAAGACUGACGCUCAUGUGCGAAAGUGUGGGUAGCGAACAGGAUUAGAUA
rnacentral:rRNA from 1 species